rnacentral:rRNA from 1 species
UACGUAGGGUGCAAGCGUUAAUCGGAAUUACUGGGCGUAAAGCGUGCGCAGGCGGUUGUGCAAGACCGAUGUGAGAUCCCCGGGCUUAACCUGGGAAUGGCAUUGGUGACUGUACGGCUAGAGUGUGUCAGAGGGGGGUAGAAUUCCACGUGUAGCAGUGAAAUGCGUAGAUAUCUGGAGGAAUACCGGUGGCGAAGGCGGCAUCCUGGACCGGCAUUGACGCUGAGGAGCGGAAAAGCUAGGGGAGCCAAACGGGAUU